CAGGGGGCUCAUGAAAAUAGCCUGGAGGCUGUUCGUCUUUUCUGCGCUUUCCGCACUGAAGAUGAGAAGCUGGGAUCCUCCUUCCGCUUGAGGGCACCCCGAGGUCAUCCAGCCCUCCUUAAAGCAGCGUCAAUGAAGAAGGGAAAGAAAAAGGAGGCUUCAGGACAGACACACCCCGCAUAUCCACGAAGGAGUCCCCAGAGAAAGGGCCUUGACAGCCGGUUGGAUGACCUCGAGGGGCCCCCAUCCCUGCGGCAGCCUCUUUCAACCCCAACUUCCCCAUCAUGGAUGAGAGAAGAAGGAGGUCGGAGGGUCUUCUGAACUAACGUGGUUGUCAGGUUUUUCUUCAUUUUCCCACUUUAAAGAUAUCAUAUUAUUAUAUACUUUAUUCAUUAAGCAUGAAACUCAGUCAACUGAACAUUCAAAAAUGCAUCACAGAUACCAUUGAUUGAUGCUAACGGUCGAUAGGGGUUACUGCCAGCAUCCUAGGUGUCAACCAAGUACCUUCUUCAGAUGUACGAUCUUCUAAGUAGCGCAGUUUUUUGCAGUUCUGCUGGUAUUCUUGCAGGAAGCUGCAAUUUGUUGAUGUACCUUAUAAAAUUCUUGGACAUGGUACCAAGUGCCCCAGGGACAAUGGGAAUCACUGUGACAUGUUUCAUCCAUUUCAAUGGCCGGUCCAUCUCACUGCCUGCGGAGGCCUGGUGUGACUUAAGACCACAGACUGCCCGCUACAGGCAGUGAGAGGGACAUCUGAAGCUGGCACAGGCCCUGCAGCGGCCUCCAUUUUAUGGUGGGAAUCUCAAAGAACUCGGGGUUCCUCUGGGAAGCCUUUUGGCUGCCUGGCAAAGCCCUUCCCCGAGUCCGACUGGCUUCAGCUGAGCCCCGGCAGGACGGAGGGGCUGGGGUGUGUGUGGAGGCUUCUCUGGGCCCAGGUCUUUCCCUGCUUUGCUGCUGCCUCAGAGCUCUGUCCCCUCCCGUGUGUGCUCGUGUGGAGAGCCCUUUGCUGCCUUCGGGGGAGAGAGAGGAGACCGUUUCCUCCUCUGCGGGGCCUCUUCGCCUCCCGAAAAUAGGAGCCUUCAGGGGAUUCAGGCCAAGCACGAAGGGGGUCGGGGGGGGUUCAGGCCCUUUUCUUGGGGUGCAUAAAAAGACCAAAUUACCCAUCAAGAUGCUCUUUCACAGUUCAAGUUGCUCAACAAGGUGGAUGAAAUAUCGGUUCCUUUUCUCUCCUUUGGAAAGCUGUAGGGCCCAUUUCAAGUGGGCUAAGCCUAGUCUCCAAGGUGGUUGGCCUUCAAAGGGAAAUGGACGUUGGGAGUAGAACAGGUGGUGUCUUCUUAGACUGCUGGAAAGGCUUCCAUACCAUUGCCCAAGGUGUCCUUCAUAGGCUAUUAUUGGGAGCCUUUUUUAAGGAUGAUUUUGCUACGUCCAACUUGAGAUGCCACGUGAUCGUUAUUUUAGGAUCUGAUUCCUGGUGUUGGGCUGUGAAGGGAGCAAGAUGGUGGACCUGGUCUUGGAUUUGGCAAGAAGCAUGAGAAAGAAUUGUGGUCCCCACAAUACAAGAGUAGAUGCUGAGGCCCUGGAAAGUGCGCAGGGAAGAGCAACAAAGAGGAUAAUGGAUCUGGAGGCUAAAUCGUGUCAUGAGCCCCUAACUGGGUAUGGAUAUCUUUAGCCCAAUGGAGAGAAAGCUCAGGGGAGACACGAUCGUAUCUUGCAAUAUUGGAAAUGCUGUCAAGGGAAAGAGGAUGUUGAUUUAUCCUCCAUAGCAUCUGAGGGCAAGAUAAGAAGCAACGGGAGGAAGCUCCUCAGAGGGAGAUCUAACCUGGAUAGGAGGAGGAAUUUCCUGACAGGGAGAACAAUGAACUAAUGGAGUAGCUGGUUGAGUUGUGAGCGCUCCCGUUAUUUGCCUCAGCUCCUCUGCCCACCUGGCAGUUCAAAAGCGUGCAAAUGUGAGUAGAUGAAUAAGCACCACUUUGGUGGGAAGGUAACAGCAUUUCAUGGGCCUUGGGGGUAUAGCCAUGCUGGCCACAUGACCACGGAAAUUGUUUUCGGACACUGCUGGCUCCCUCGGCCAAAAGGGGGGAUGGGCACCGUCCUCUAGAGUCGGCCACGACCGGGCAGAGUAAAUCUUUACUUUUACUUUAUUAUCCUAGACACGGAGGGCCCUGUUUGAAGGGGCAAAGAAAUCAGCUGGAAAUUCCAGUCACCUUGGUGGUGGCGGUUUUUUCCUCCAUUUCCUUAUUGGCACAUCUGUGACUUUCCGUCCUGUGCUGUUCCAUGCGGGAUGCCAUCUCCUCUUGUCUUUUCACAGAACAAAGGUGCCAAGGCCAAACCCGGAAACAAAGGGAAGAAACCGCUGGGUCAAGUCCUGUCUACAUUAUGGCAGGAAGCGAGCCUGUCCCCAUUGAGGAAGAGGAAGAGGAAGAGGAUGAGGUUGCCUCAGUCGGGGUCUCCCUUUCCUCCACUUUCCUUCUGAUGUGCGACUAAUGCGGAACUUUGCUUUUUCUUUCUCCCAAGUACUCUUGGCCUUUUGACUUUUCCUAGUUUUCCUUUCUUUCUGUCUUUCCUUUCCUGUCUUUCUGCUCGGCAGGAACAGAAGACGAAGGAAGAGGCAAAGAGUGGCAAGUGGCUUCAUCCAGAAAGUCCUGGGCCCAGUUGAGAGAUUCCCCCAUAGCCCUCAUGCUGAAAAGCUGCAGCAGCCAUCUCCUCACUCUCCCAGAUCAUGGACACCCACGAGAGAACCACCCCCUGCCAAAUAGAAGGCAUUGCAGCCAUGCAGUGAGAGAUUAUCAGAACUGUCCCAUCUUGGGCAUUUAGGAAAGACAGAUUCUCGUCUCCAUUUACAGUCAAGUUACAUUUAGUAAAAGGUAGACUUUUACUAAAGCCAAGUGGUUACAGCGUAAGCAAAGCUAGAUCUGAGGAUUCCUGCCUAAACUAGGUACUUUCAUGAAGCCAAGAGACGAAGAUUAGAUGGAUUCCGGCCCCAGAAUGACCGACAAGAUUUUCGGAGGAUGCCUGACUAUAGCCCUCCCUUGGGUUAUCAUGGGCAAGGGCCAUCUGACCUUUACCGGCCUUUC